rnacentral:rRNA from 1 species
UACAGAGGGUGCAAGCGUUAAUCGGAUUUACUGGGCGUAAAGCGUGCGUAGGCGGUUCAUUAAGUCGGUUGUGAAAUCCCUGGGCUUAACCUGGGAACUGCAGUCGAUACUGGUGGACUAGAGUACGGUAGAGGGUGGCGGAACUCCGGGUGUAGCGGUGAAAUGCGUAGAUAUCCGGAAGAACACCGAUGGCGAAGGCAACCACCUGGGCCUGUACUGACGCUGAGGCGCGAAAGCGUGGGGAGCAAACAGG